UCCCUCCUUUCUUCCCUCCUUCUCCCUCGUAACCCUCCGGAGUCCAGCUCGGGGAGGAAAGAGGGGACAGAAAGUUUCUGCCGCACGGUUUCUUCGCGGGCUGCUCCCGAGUGGGAGCAUUGACCCACCCUGGCCGGCCCCGGAGGGGCGGGGGACUGCGCGCAUCCCCCGCCGCCCCCGCAGGGCAGCAGCACUCGGAUUGUGCACCCUGCAGAGCACCUUCCUGGAGCGGUUCCUGCUCACUGGGUCGCCUCUGCUUCCUGCGGGCUUCUGCAAGACAGAUGGCUUGGUGCAGCUCUGAACAGUUGGAAUUGCCCUCAACACACCCAAGACCAUACGAGCAGGACUGGUCCUUUCUCACUAGGCUUUGGACAUCCUUCAAUCCCCAGCAUCCUUCUGUUCUCUGGGUUGUCCUCUGGACUGUGGUUCUGUAGGCUGUGUCCCUGUGUAUCCCACCCAGCAGACCUGGUAUCAGGGCCGUGGGCUUCAACUGAAACAUCGGCACACCUGGGAGAGAGAUGUGAUGCUGAGAAAGCGGUUCUGUGCACACCAGCCUCAAACACAGGCACCAAAUCUCAGCACCUACAUCGAUAUUUAAGCUGUCAAAGAGACUGAGCAUAUGCUGGUACGUGUCAGGGCUCCAGACUUCUCCCAAAAACAGGCAUCUCCAUCGAUGCUUACCUUUGGCUUUAGGAGUUUCUACUAGAUGCCCAGACUUAGUAAAUCCCAACUGUGGGUCCUUGCAAACCACUCAGCAGAGGUGGUCUCUUUAACAAAGAGCAACCACCUUUCCUCGCUGCAAAAGCAAAACCCCAUCAAAGGAAAGGACCCAACCUUGGCAGGGGGGCAAGCAGGGCUGUAAGCUACUGUUAAUAGCUGAAGGAGCCCAGCUCCCUUCCCUUCCCCCAGCUCACCACAAGGACCUCCUGAGAGUAGACAAAAGAAAGCUAGGAAGGUUAAUCUCCCUGAGAAAAACAAGUGAUUUUCCAGUAAACAACUGCAAUAGCAAACAAUGGGGGUGAAAAACAACGAUCAUAAAAAAGCCUGGUCGGAGGAAGAGGCGACCCAGCAAGAGAGGUGUCUCUGGCUGGGGGAAAAACAAGGCAGCAGUUUGGUGAAGCAGCAGCAGUAGCAGCAGCAAAAUAAACCCCACAAGUUGCCACUGGA